rnacentral:rRNA from 1 species
UAGGGAAUCUUCCGCAAUGGACGCAAGUCUGACGGAGCAACGCCGCGUGAGUGAAGAAGGAUUUCGGUUCGUAAAACUUUGUUGUUAGAGAAGAACAGCGCAUAGAGUAACUGUUAUGCGUGUGACGGUAUUUAACCAGAAAGCCACGGCUAACUACGUGCCAGCAGCCGCGGUAUUACGUAGGUGGCAAGCGUUGUCCGGAUUUAUUGGGCGUAAAGCGAGCUCAGGCGGUCAAUUAAGUCUGAUGUGAAAGCCCCCGGCUCAACCGGAGAGGGUCAUUGGAAACUGGUUAACUUGAGUGCAGAAGAGGGAAGUGGAAUUCCAUGUGUAGCGAUAAAAUGCGAUGAUAUAUGGAGGAACACCAGUGGCGAAGGCGACUCUCUGGUCUGUAACUGACGCUGAGGCUCGAAAGCGUGGGUAGCAAACAGG